rnacentral:hammerhead_ribozyme from 1 species
AGCGAAACGGCCUCUUGUGGGGCCGUCGCCGGAACGUGGCGGUUCCGGCCUGAUGAGCAGCCGAG